GCAUUAUACCGUGAAACUGCGAAUGGCUCAUUAAAUCAGUUAUCGUUUAUUUGAUAGUACCUUACUACUUGGAUAACCGUGGUAAUUCUAGAGCUAAUACAUGCUGAAAACCCCAACUUCGGGAGGGGUGUAUUUAUUAGAUAAAAAACCAACGCCCUUCGGGGCUUUUUGGUGAUUCAUGAUAACUUUACGGAUCGCAUGGCCUUGCGCCGGCGACGGUUCAUUCAAAUUUCUGCCCUAUCAACUUUCGAUGGUAAGGUAUUGGCUUACCAUGGUUUCAACGGGUAACGGGGAAUUAGGGUUCGAUUCCGGAGAGGGAGCCUGAGAAACGGCUACCACAUCCAAGGAAGGCAGCAGGCGCGCAAAUUACCCAAUCCCGACACGGGGAGGUAGUGACAAUAAAUACUGAUACAGGGCUCUUUUGGGUCUUGUAAUUGGAAUGAGUACAAUUUAAACCUCUUAACGAGGAACAAUUGGAGGGCAAGUCUGGUGCCAGCAGCCGCGGUAAUUCCAGCUCCAAUAGCGUAUAUUAAAGUUGUUGCAGUUAAAAAGCUCGUAGUUGAACCUUGGGUCUGGCUGGCAGGUCCGCCUCACCGCGUGUACUUGUCCGGCCGGGCCUUCCUUCUGGAGAACCUCAUGCCCUUCACUGGGCGUGUUGGGGACCAGGACUUUUACUUUGAAAAAAUUAGAGUGUUCAAAGCAGGCCUUUGCUCGAAUACGUUAGCAUGGAAUAAUAGAAUAGGACGUGCGGUCCUAUUUUGUUGGUUUCUAGGACCGCCGUAAUGAUUAAUAGGGACAGUCGGGGGCAUCAGUAUUCAAUUGUCAGAGGUGAAAUUCUUGGAUUUAUUGAAGACUAACUACUGCGAAAGCAUUUGCCAAGGAUGUUUUCAUUAAUCAGUGAACGAAAGUUAGGGGAUCGAAGACGAUCAGAUACCGUCGUAGUCUUAACCGUAAACUAUGCCGACUAGGGAUCGGGCGAUGUUCUUUUUCUGACUCGCUCGGCACCUUACGAGAAAUCAAAG
rnacentral:rRNA from 1 species